rnacentral:misc_RNA from 1 species
ACCCGAGCGUCGUCAUCGUCGUCGUCGUCGUAUCGUGUGUGUUUUCGGCAUUGCGUCGUCGUGCAAAUGGCGGUCGUCGCGAUGUUUGGUGCGAUAUCGUUCCAAGUGACGAAUUAACUGCGCCGCGGUGUUGGCGCAGCAUCUGACGAGCGUUGAUAACACAAUAGGACGUAUUGGUGCCGCGAACGCGGAUCGCUCGCAGCCGUCAUGGUGAAACUAACGAAGAAAUUCGUCACCGGUGACAAGGUGUUUGCGAAAGUUCGAGGUUACCCGCCAUGGCCAGCCAGAGUCGAGAAGAUAAGUGAUCCAAACUCCAAGAAUGCCAGAUACAACGUUUAUUUUUAUGGCACAGGAGAAACAGCUGUUUGCAAAGUCGAGGAGUUAUACAGCUAUGCCGAGAACAAGGCAAAGUUCUGCAAACCUAGUCGACGAAAGUUCUUUCACGAGGGCAUACAGCAACUUGAACAGGAACUCAAGAAUGACCGAAGUAAGCCGUUGGCAGACAUUGCUGCCAUUAAAGUGAAAUCUGCAGUUACAGAAGAUGCUUUGUCCAAAGGUAACGACGCGACAGUAUUGCCAACUGUUAGCGCUGCAGAUAGUGACAUGGAAUCUGGUUCUCUAGUGAUAGAUGAAGGAGAGAAGAAGAAACCGUUGAAGAGAAAAGCUUUUUCAUCUACCUCUAAUACUCCUGAUACACCGGAAGUGAAGAAGAAACGUGGCAGAGGGAAGACCUCAAAUGACACGUCGAAGCAGGAAGCCGCUUUGGAUUCGCAGGGCGAGGAGUCGCCUAAGGAGGUGGUCAGUCGCAGCGGCCGUAAAAUCAAGCCGAAACGCUUUGCUGACUUCUCGAGCUCGGAAGAAACUGAAAUCAAUACAGAGAAGAAUGAGCAUUCUGGGCGAGGUCGUAAACCGAAGAGUGAAGAUUCUAAUCAAGUAUCCUCAAACGUGAUACACAAGAAGAGGGCUGCUCUGGAAAAGAGAAACAGUGUGGGCGAAGGAUCGAUACUCGACGGCACCGUGAUAUCGAGCGCCGCAUCUUCUGACGCGCCAAGCCGCGUUCUCCUAGCUCGCACGUUCGCCGGGGAACACGUGGGCAUCAGGCUGGACAUGGACAGACCGAAAACCUUCGAGAGCGAGAGGGCGCGAACUCAAUGGGACUGGUCGACCGCUAGAAACGCUAUGAAACUCAAAGCGCAACUGGAAAGUGGGGAGAUUCUGCCGGAACAGGUGAAGGAUUCGUUAGAUUUUAACGUGCCCGUCUCGGAAGAUGAGAAGCGUGUCUCAGCGAAGGACGGAGUUCAUCGCAAGACGUACAAGCUGAGAUGGCUGCGUACAGAGGCUCAACUUCUGCAAUUAGAUGCUCAAAUAAAAUCUAAUUUGGGAUUGGAUCGAGCCAACACGGACAAGUGCUUACAGGCGAUGGACGACAUCCUGGCCCUUUCGAUUGAUCCCCUAAUGCUGAAGAAGCAUCCCCACAUUGUCGAAACGGUGAAAAGGCUGCGACGAUACAUCGGCAAUUUAGGAGAAUGGAAACUGAACGAAGAAGAAGGGACUGUUUUCAAGCAAAAGGCGGAGCAAAUCAGACAGAAGGCCGAGCACAUAUACAACAAGUACAAGGCUAUGUUUACCAUACCCGAGGGCCAGUCUUUCUGGCAAUCAUUCUCAAAUCAAGUGGUCCAUUUUAAGGAAUUGACAAAGAACAUGUCCGAGGAGAAGGUGUUCUCACUGAUGUCUGAUCCUGCUUGUCAGCCAGAGACUCAGAAAACGAUUACUAAAGACGAUGGCUCAUAUUCAGAACGUUUAUAAAAGCGCCUGUAAAAGUCGCUUAAAAAUCACCUGAUUGACUGAGAAGCCAUAUUGAAGACGCUUUUAUCAUGUAGACGCAGGUAGAUCGGUGGAUUCGCCUGCGAAUGACAGUGGCAAUCAACUGGAGGCGGAUGCGGCGGCAGCGGAUGAGACAGAACCGG